GACGAACGCUGGCGGUGUGCCUAAUACAUGCAAGUAGAACGCUGAAGGAGGAGCUUGCUCUUCUGGAUGAGUUGCGAACGGGUGAGUAACGCGUAGGUAACCUGCCUGGUAGCGGGGGAUAACUAUUGGAAACGAUAGCUAAUACCGCAUAACAGUAGAUGUUGCAUGACAUUUGCUUAAAAGGUGCAAUUGCACCACUACCAGAUGGACCUGCGUUGUAUUAGCUAGUUGGUGGGGUAACGGCUCACCAAGGCGACGAUACAUAGCCGACCUGAGAGGGUGAUCGGCCACACUGGGACUGAGACACGGCCCAGACUCCUACGGGAGGCAGCAGUAGGGAAUCUUCGGCAAUGGACGGAAGUCUGACCGAGCAACGCCGCGUGAGUGAAGAAGGUUUUCGGAUCGUAAAGCUCUGUUGUAAGAGAAGAACGAGUGUGAGAGUGGAAAGUUCACACUGUGACGGUAUCUUACCAGAAAGGGACGGCUAACUACGUG
rnacentral:rRNA from 1 species